CCUACGGGUGGCUGCAGUGAGGAAUAUUGGUCAAUGGGCGGGAGCCUGAACCAGCCAAGUCGCGUGAAGGACGAAGGUACUUAGUAUUGUAAACUUCUUUUGUCGGGGAACAAAGGCGGAGACGCGUCUCCGGAUGAGUGUACCCGAAGAAAAAGCAUCGGCUAACUCCGUGCCAGCAGCCGCGGUAAUACGGAGGAGGCGAGCGUUAUCCGGAUUUAUUGGGUUGAAAGGGGACGUAGGCGGAUCGUUAAGUCAGUGGUAAAAUGGAGGGGCUCAACCCCUUCGCGCCGUUGAAACUGGCGCUCUUGAGUGGAAGAGAAGUAUGCGGAAUGCGUGGUGUAGCGGUGAAAUGCAUAGAUAUCACGCAGAACCCCGAUUGCGAAGGCAGCAUGCCGGCUUCAGACGGACGCUGAGGCACGAAAGCGUGGGGAUCGAACAGGAUUAGAUACCCCAGUAGUC
rnacentral:rRNA from 1 species